UUCUCUGUUUAGCCGAAAAAGAAGAAACACACCGAGGGAGGGAGGGCGGUCUUGAGAGAAUGAGAAAGAGCGAGAGAGAGGUGGAGAGCUCGAGAUGAAGGUCGAGGGAAGUUUAGCUUGAAAUGGAUUUUGGAAAAUGGUAGAGAUGGAGAGUGAGCGAGCAAUAGCCAGAGCCCGAGCUUGAGCUCGAUGAAGAGAUAGAGAAAUGAAAGAACCAAGGAUGGGAAAGUAGCAAGUCGGGGGUGGAUAAACCGAAUAGAGAGAGGAACGAGGUAGAGAAAAUUGAGGGUAGAUUGAGGUAGGGAAAUUGGAGAACACCUUGAGGAAGAUCUUGACAUGGUGAUCCUUUAUUGAUGGGUUUUGGAGAGAAUACUGAUGGGAAGUAAAGAGUAUGGAAUGGGGAUAGAACGACUAGAGGAAGCUGAUUGUAUUAAGCUUCUAAGCUUAUGACUUAUACUCUACCUUGUUGUUUGCUCAAAGCAAAUGGGCUGGCUUGAUUCAAUAUCUCGACGAUCAAGCUUGGAUCGCGCUUGAGCUGAGGAUUAAUAUUCCAGUCAAGGUGAGCCAACCUCGAGCUAAUUAAGAGCAUAGCACGAGGGGCUCAGGAGAGUAAUCAAGAUUCGCUUGCUUAGUUAUUGACUUCAAAUUAUGGACAUAUUAUAAGACAAAAAUUGCCCGUUAUCUCAGUUAAUCUGGUGAUCGUUUUGACCAAAAAAGAUCAUAAAGCAGGUGCAACAGAGACGCAGUUCUGUUUUGCGGGGAAAGAAUGAAACUUUAGCACGGGGUGCCAAAGUCAAAACGGGUUGAAAUAGUCCCAAAGAAAGGAGUGUAUGGUACUUGAAGGCCCAAAGAAAUAGUCCUUGGAGCAGGAGAAAAUUGCUAAAGUUAUAAGAGAACCGACAAGGCCUUUGGUCAGCUACUGAGUUGGUCAUGGAAAGAGCGUAUCUUUCUCGCAUGACAAUUGGAGCAAUAAGGGUCCUAUUGCUGAUAUUUGUGUUUGAUCGUGGUCUGCAUUUUUUUCCAUCUAUCCAACUAAAAGCAUAAACUUAGUAUGCGCGAUAUAUAUGGAGUUUUGGGAUUUGUAAUUCUGUAAAUAUCGGUUUCGUUAUUCUCUUGUACACUUUCCAGAAUACAUUAGUCCUGGUUUAGGAGUACAGCUCCAGCUUAAGGAUACUAGACAGGAACCUAUUAUAGAGAUUCACAUCUUGUACUGUAUAUCUAUGUUCUUGUCUUAAAAUGAAUGAAUGAAAUUCUCCAGCAGACUUAUUGGUCUGGACCAA